rnacentral:rRNA from 1 species
GAUGAACGCUAGCGGCAGGCCUAAUACAUGCAAGUCGAACGAUAGUGAGAAGCUUGCUUCUCACGAAAGUGGCGCACGGGUGCGUAACGCGUAUGCAACCUACCUUAAUCAGGGGGAUAGCCCAAAGAAAUUCGGAUUAACACCGCAUAAAAUCACAGUAUAGCAUUAUACAAUGAUCAAAUAUUUAUAGGAUUAAGAUGGGCAUGCGUGACAUUAGUUAGUUGGCGGGGUAACGGCCCACCAAGACCACGAUGUCUAGGGGAUCUGAGAGGAUAACCCCCCACACUGGUACUGAGACACGGACCAGACUCCUACGGGAGGCAGCAGUAAGGAAUAUUGGUCAAUGGAGGCAACUCUGAACCAGCCAUGCCGCGUGCAGGAAGACAGCCCUCUGGGUCGUAAACUGCUUUUAUUCGGGAAUAAACCUAUCUACGUGUAGAUAGCUGAAUGUACCGAAGGAAUAAGGAUCGGCUAACUCCGUGCCAGCCGCCGCCCGUAA